AAUGUUAAGUUAGUGGCGGACGGGUGAGUAACGCGUGGGUAACCUGCCGUAUACCGGGGGAUAACACCUGGAAACAGGUGCUAAUACCGCAUAAGCGCACGGGACCGCAUGGUCCAGUGUGAAAAACCGAGGUGGUAUGCGAUGGACCCGCGUCUGAUUAGCCAGUUGGCAGGGUAACGGCCUACCAAAGCGACGAUCAGUAGCCGGCCUGAGAGGGUGGACGGCCACAUUGGGACUGAGACACGGCCCAAACUCCUACGGGAGGCAGCAG
rnacentral:rRNA from 1 species